rnacentral:rRNA from 1 species
AUUGAACGCUGGCGGCAUGCCUUACACAUGCAAGUCGAACGGCAGCACGGGUGCUUGCACCUGGUGGCGAGUGGCGAACGGGUGAGUAAUACAUCGGAACAUGUCCCGUAGUGGGGGUUAGCCCGGCGAAAGCCGGAUUAAUACCGCAUACGAUUUACGGCUGAAAGCGGGGGACCUUCGGGCCUCGCGCUAUAGGGUUGGCCGAGGGCUGAUUAGGUGGUUGGGGGGGUAAAGGUAUACCAAGGCGACGACCAGUAGCGGGUCUGAGAGGACGACCAGCAAACCGGGCAGUGAGGCACGGCCCAGACUCUGACGGGGGGCAGCGGGGGGGAAUUUUGGACAAGGGGGGAAAGCCUGAUCCAGAAAUGCGGGGUGGGUGAAGAUGCCCUGCGGGUGGGAGAGUGCUGUUGUCGGGAGAUAAAUACAGCCCUAUAAGAAGGUGGGGAAAUGACGGUACCGGAAAAAGAAGCCCCGGCUAACUACGUG